GACGAACGCUGGCGGCGUGCUUAACACAUGCAAGUCGAACGGAAAGGCCCUGCGUUUGUGGGGUGCUCGAUUGGCGAACGGGUGAGUAACACGUGAGUAACCUGCCCUUGACUUUGGGAUAACUUCAGGGAACUGGGGCUAAUACCGGAUAGGAGCUCCUGCUGCAUGGGGGGGGUUGGAAAGUUUCGGCGGUUGGGGAUGGACUCGCGGCUUAUCAGCUGGUUGGUGGGGUAGGGGCUUACCAAGGCUUUGACGGGUAGCCGGCCUGAGAGGGUGACCGGGCACAUUGGGACUGAGAUACGGCCCAGACUCCUACGGGCGGCAGCAGUGGGGAAUCUUGCACAAUGGGCGGAAGCGUGAUGCAGCAACGCCGCGUGCGGGAUGACGGCCUUCGGGUUGUAAACCGCUUUCGCCUGUGACGAAGCGUGCGUGACGGUAAUGGGUAAAGAAGCACCGGCUAACUACGUG
rnacentral:rRNA from 1 species